rnacentral:RNase_P_RNA from 1 species
AUAGGCGAGAGGAUGAUCGCGUUCCAAUUUAAUUGGGAUGAGGAAAGUCUGGGCACUCCCUAAAUUAUUUAUUAAAUAAUUUAGGAGCAGGGUAGCGGGUAACGCCCGUCCAGUUUGGCGCUUGGCGCUGAGCUGAGAGGUGCGAACAGAGACGCGCGAGACCGCAAGGUUAAGCACUCCUGUUAUUAACAGGAGUAGCCCCAAAGUAAUUUGGGGGUGAAACGGCUAAAUCCUUACCUGAGUGCAAGGCCGUGCCUUCGCUGAUGCGGAGGAGUGCCGCUUGACUUCGAUGGUAACAUCGAAGCUAGAUAAAUGAUCAUCGCCUUAAUUUAAUUGAGGUACAGAACCCGGCUUAUAUCUCGCCUAAAAGC